ACGAACGCUGGCGGCGUGCCUAAUACAUGCAAGUAGAACGCUGAAGAGAGGAGCUUGCUCUUCUUGGAUGAGUUGCGAACGGGUGAGUAACGCGUAGGUAACCUGCCUUGUAGCGGGGGAUAACUAUUGGAAACGAUAGCUAAUACCGCAUAACAAUGGAUGACACAUGUCAUUUAUUUGAAAGGGGCAAUUGCUCCACUACAAGAUGGACCUGCGUUGUAUUAGCUAGUAGGUGAGGUAACGGCUCACCUAGGCGACGAUACAUAGCCGACCUGAGAGGGUACUCGGCCACACUGGGACUGAGACACGGCCCAGACUCCUACGGGAGGCAGCAGUAGGGAAUCUUCGGCAAUGGGGGCAACCCUGACCGAGCAACGCCGCGUGAGUGAAGAAGGUUUUCGGAUCGUAAAGCUCUGUUGUAAGUCAAGAACGAGUGUGAGAGUGGAAAGUUCACAUUGUGACGGUAGCUUACCAGAAAGGGACGGCUAACUACGUG
rnacentral:rRNA from 1 species